rnacentral:tRNA from 1 species
GCCUGGGUGGCUCAGUCGUCUAAGCAUCUGACUUUGGCUCAGGUCAUGAUCUUGCGGUUUGUGGGUUCAAGCCCCAUGUUGGGCU